GAAGCCCCAGUAAACGGCGGCCGUAACUAUAACGGUCCUAAGGUAGCGAAAUUCCUUGUCGGGUAAGUUCCGACCUGCACGAAUGGCAUAAUGAUGGGGGCGCUGUCUCCAGCAGAGACUCAGUGAAAUCGAAUUCGCCGUGAAGAUGCGGUGUACCCGCGGCUAGACGGAAAGACCCCGUGAACCUUUACUGCAGCUUGACAUUGAACUUUGAUCUUACUUGUGUAGGAUAGGUGGGAGGCUUUGAAACCGAGACGCUAGUUUCGGUGGAGCCAAUCUUGAAAUACCACCCUGGUAAUAUUGAGGUUCUAACUCUGUCCCGUUAUCCGGGACGAGGACCAUGUCUGGUGGGUAGUUUGACUGGGGCGGUCU
rnacentral:rRNA from 1 species